AGUGAACGCUGGCGGUAGGCCUAACACAUGCAAGUCGAACGGCAGCACAGUAAGAGCUUGCUCUUACGGGUGGCGAGUGGCGGACGGGUGAGGAAUACAGCGGACUCUACUUUUUCGUGGGGGAUAACGUAGGGAAACUUACGCUAAUACCGCAUACGACCUACGGGUGAAAGCAGGGGAUCUUCGGACCUUGCGCGAUUGAAUGAGCCGAUGUCGGAUUAGCUAGUUGGCGGGGUAAAGGCCCACCAAGGCGACGAUCCGUAGCUGGUCUGAGAGGAUGACCAGCCACACUGGAACUGAGACACGGUCCAGACUCCUACGGGAGGCAGCAGUGGGGAAUAUUAGACAAUGGGCGCAAGCCUGAUCCAGCCAUACCGCGUGGAUGAAGAAGGCCUUCGGGUUGUAAAGCACUUUUGUUGGGAAAGAAAAGCAGCAGGUUAAUACCCCGCUGUUCUGACGUUACCCAAAGAAUAAGCACCGGCUAACUUCGUG
rnacentral:rRNA from 1 species